rnacentral:rRNA from 1 species
UUUUAUUUGAGAGUUUGAUCCUGGCUCAGGAUGAACGCUGGCGGCGUGCCUAACACAUGCAAGUUGAGCGAUUUACUUCGGUAAAGAGCGGCGGACGGGUGAGUAACGCGUGGGUAACCUACCCUGUACACACGGAUAACAUACCGAAAGGUAUGCUAAUACGGGAUAAUAUAUUUGAGAGGCAUCUCUUAAAUAUCAAAGGUGAGCCAGUACAGGAUGGACCCGCGUCUGAUUAGCUAGUUGGUAAGGUAACGGAUUACCAAGGCGACGAUCAGUAGCCGACCUGGGAGGGUGGUGGGCCACAUUGGAACGGAGACACGGUCCAAACUCCUACGGGAGGCAGCAGUGGGGAAUAUUGCACAAUGGGCGAAAGCCGGAUGCAGCAACGCCGCGUGAGUGAUGAAGGCCUUCGGGUCGUAAAACUCUGUCCUCAAGGAAGAUAAUGACGGUACUUGAGGAGGAAGCCCCGGCUAACUACGUGCCAGCAGUCGCGGUAAUACGUA